ensembl:snRNA U6 U6 spliceosomal RNA
GUGCUCCCCUCGGCAGCACAUAUACUAAAAUUGGAACGUUGCAGAGAAGAUUAGCAUGGCCCCUGCGCAAGGACGACGUGCAAAUUCGUGAAGUGUUCCAUAUUUUU